GCCCGGAUGGUCUAGUGGUAUGAUUCGCCCUUAGGGACUGGGCGAGGUCCCCGGUUCAAUCCCGGGUUCGGGCC
rnacentral:tRNA from 1 species